rnacentral:lncRNA from 1 species
UUCUUCUUUCAUUGGUAUCCUUUCUUUUUCCUUUUGUAGCCUCAAUAAGGAUGCUUGCGACUUUUCCAAUGCCGAGGGAAGAUAGUACCUUUUCAUUCCUUAAGAUACAUGCAGCCCUCUUUUGCUCGUAACAAGUGAGCUCUGGUUCUUUUUGUUAGGAAAAGAAAGAAACUUCUAUAAAAUUAUCCAACCACUCUAAACAAAACCAUCUACUGUACAAGAAACAAACUAAUACAAAAUCUAAAGGUGGAGCGCACCAAAAUAAGAUCCAAUAUUGGAUGUUCCUAGCAAAAACAAGAUCCAGGAAAGGAUGUUCCUACCCAACCUUAUACGAGCUGAAAGGGAAAACUACUAUAAAAGAUAUAAAUUAAUGUAAAAUCAUAAAGGUACUACCCCCCAAAACAAGAUCCAAGAUAGAAUGUUCCUACCCAACCUUGUACUAGCCCAAAGGACAAACUAGUAAAGGAAACAAACUAGUGUAUACAUGGGAACUAGCUGAUCUGCAAACAAACAACAAAGUAAAAGCAGUAACAAAACCAAACAAGGAAGCACUUUAAUUGCAACACCGGGGAUGCUGAACUGAGGACGAAAACAUUAUACCUGGUUGUUGAUUUUUCCUUUGUACGACCUUUCCGCUUGGUGCCAUUGUGUCGCCGCUGGUACUAUGGAGGGAGAUGGGAAAUGGGUGGUAGCCAUGAGGGGAAGAUUGUGGAUGGUGGUGAGUAGGUGAAGUUUGGGAUGACAAUGAGGAGGUGAAAAUUUGGGAUGGGGGUGAGGAGGAGGUGAUGAUUUGGGGUGGGGGCGAGGAGUUGAAGGGGAACUGAUGGCAGGAAGUUUUUGGAUGCGAAAGAUUUGGGCGGAGGGAGGGAAGGGAUGGGGUAUUUGGCCAAUUGGAUGGAUGGCCCUAUCACAUUACCAAUAUACCCUUCUACUAUGGUGGUGGAUGAAACGGGGUUCUAUUGGGAAGGGGAGGAAAAUUAACAUUUCACAUCUGUCACACGGUUUGGCCCGGGCGUCCAAAUAUUUGAAUAGCACGCCGAAAAGAUUUUGGGGCUGGUCCACGCCACGUAAUGGUGACCAAAGGAUGUUCCGCUUAGUAGAAAAUACCAAACAAAAAUCUAAAUAGUGGAAUGUCUAGUAGUCUAUUCAUUGAUGUUUUUUAUUCUUGGUACAAUCAUCAUAACCUGUGAAAAAACUUUAUUAGUAGAAUCAGGAGAAUCUGGACCCAGAUUCAACAAAUUAUCAUUUGAAAUCUUUGUUAUAUCAUGAGAACACCUUCAAAAAGCUGGAUAUUCUAUUAUUUGGUACCACUCCCUCCGUUUAUGUACUGCUCCACUUAUAUUAAAGUGUAAUAAGGGAGACAGUGUCAUAUCAUAUGAUGUCUUACAAACAAGAACAGAGGGCGUAUUUAGGAUGAAGAACUACUAUACAUAUUGAGUUUUACAUUGGGAAACCACUGAAACCUCCUGUCUAUUCGGUGUGCUUACAACGAUUGGAAAUCCUUGUACCAUCCUGGCAACACUGGAAAUUCUUGUACCAUGCCUUCCAUUGGAUGUGUUUACUACUUAAUCAUGUGCACAUUGGAAAUCAAACAACCCUCCCUUUGGUUGCAUGUGCUUACUUACAUUUCAACAUUGGA